CACACACACACACACACACACACACACACACACACACACACACACACACACACACACACACACACACACACACACACACACACACACACACACACACACGAUCUUCCUGACAGUACUCGCAGGUCAACAAGGAUAACACACUGAAACAUCCAGACCUUCAGACGCCCACCAAUGUUGAUGCUAAGCUGCAUUCCACAAGCCAAUAUUCACUGGAAUAUAUUGACUGCACAUCUCUGACUGUACAUCUCUGACUGCACAUCUCUGACUGCACAUCUCUGACUGCACAUCUCUGACUGCACAUCUCUGGGUAGGAGAGGAGAGCUGAGUCCUUAUUGCCAGGCUGGACAGUCUCUCUGCUGCUUUGACUGGUGUCUUCCAGCCUGGUUGGGAACUAGUAUUACAUGGAAACCUGGUUGAUUUCCUAUAACUCCUGCGUUUUGUGUUUAGACUCCUGUGGCUCAUAUUAUAGUACUACAGCCAUCCACCCAUAUUACAGUGACUGCAACACUCAAGGACUAUUUCAGGAUUUCUUUAUUAAGAUGAAAAGUAUAGGCUUUUGUGUCAAAGGCUGUUUUACCAGUAUUGUAGUUUGAUACUGGAGUCAGGCUAGAGAGGUACUGUUUUUUACUUGAUUUUUAUAACAUAAUGCAUCCUGAAUGAAAUGACAUAUACCCCACACCAUUUACUGGAUGUUAGGUAGGCCUAAUGCAUCCUGAAUUAAAUGACAUAUACCCCACACCAUUUACUGGAUGUUAGGUAGACCUAAUGCAUCCUGAAUUAAAUGCCAUAUACCCCACACGAUUUACUGGAUGUUAGGUAGGCCUAAUGCAUCCUGAAUUAAAUGACAUAUACCCCACACCAUUUACUGGAUGUUAGGUAGACCUAAUGCAUCCUGAAUUAAAUGACAUAUACCCCACACCAUUUACUGGAUGUUAGGUAGACCUAAUGCAUCCUGAAUUAUAUGACAUAUACCCCACACCAUUUACUGGAUGUUAGGUAGACCUAAUGCAUCCUGAAUUAAAUGACAUAUACCCAACACCAUUUACUGGAUGGAAAGAGCUGCCCAAUUAUUUAUUCGACUACUAUAACCUCAUGAACAGAUGAAAACCUCAUCAUCUAACAGAAACCUUUCAGGAAAUAGAAAAAAAGGAACAUAUUUUCCACGAGCUUGCAAUUCUAGAGCUUCACAACCUAUUUUGAAUACAUUUUCUUGGUCCUAGAGUCAUGAAAUGUUCCAGGCACAUUGAGUGGAGUUACUGCAUUUAGUAAAUAUAAAAUAAACAAUGGACAAAAAUGGAGUUACCAGGUUUUCAUCAGACAGCGACAUUAUGAUACAAAUACUUAUACUAUGGCCUUUCAUACAUGGCAUGCAAGGUCAACUCCAAAUUUCCCCAAAACUCUCUAAAUCACAUCUCAAAACAGUCUACUUCCCAGACUAGUUAUUAGUUCCCUAAACCCCAGAAUGUAUAUGACAUUAGUAUAUUUACAUAAUGUUGUGUAAGUCCUCUCACUUCUCCCAGCAGGCAGGAAAAGCCUCCUCCAGUCUACCUGUCUCUCUCUCUCUUACCGUGUCCUGUAUGUAGGCCACUAAAUGUGCAGAUAUAUUACUGCAGAUUGGGAAAUGUAUUCUCAAAGCAAGAAUGAAAAUGCUUUAUUUUUGGAGUGCUUGAGCAGCUCACGUUGUAAAACACUUUGUUGACCUCGGCUGUGUUACUGUUUAACCAAGCACUGCUCUGAUGCUGUCCCUGGACUGGACUAUACCCCCCCCCCACACACACACAUACAUACACACACACACACUAACCUGUUAUUGUUGUUUCUCAAAAACCAACCAAAUGGGGACACUAUUUGUGUACAAGACGCAAGGGGAAAUAUGUCUGUUGAGUUUGUAUUCUAUGACGUAUGCAACAUUACAAAGUCAAUCUGGCCAGACAAACGCCGUGUUUUAGCCAAGAAUAACACACUCUGAGCAAUUCAGGUUUCCACAAACAGCCAAUACAUUAACAUAGUUUAAUACUUUAGCUUAGCACGGUUUGUGGAGAGAUGCUAUCGUAACCUACUGAACCUACUGGGGUGUUGCUGAACGCUUGAAUAAAUUGACUUAUUUUAUUUAGAAAAUAUUUCCCAUUUAAAGAUGUGCUGCUUCUUCCAGCUGAUUUUGAUCAGAUUUUAAUAUGAGCCUCUCUCUCCACCCCCUCUCUCUUUCUCUCUCUCUCUCUUUCUUUCCACGCAG
rnacentral:lncRNA from 1 species